rnacentral:rRNA from 1 species
CUACGGGGGGCACCCGUGGGGCAUCUUGCCCAAUUGGCGCAAGCCUGAUGCAGCCAUUCCUCUUUUAUGAAGAAGGCCUUCGGGUUGUAAAGUACUUUCAGCGGGGAGGAAGGGAGUAAAGUUAAUACCUUUGCUCAUUUACUUUUCCCUCAUAAUAAGCCCAGGCUAACUCCGUGCCAGCAGCCGCGGUAAUACGGAGGGUGCAAGCGUUAAUCGGAAUUACUGGGCGUAAAGCGCACGCAGGCGGGUUGUUAAGUCAGAUGUGAAAUCCCCGGGCUCAACCCGGGAACUGCAUCUGAUACUGGCAAGCUUGAGUCUCGUAGAGGGGGGUAGAAUUCCAGGUGUAGCGGUGAAAUGCGUAGAGAUCUGGAGGAAUACCGGUGGCGAAGGCGGCCCCCUGGACGAAGACUGACGCUCAGGUGCGAAAGCGUGGGGAGCAAACAGGAUUAGAUACCCGCGUAGUC